rnacentral:rRNA from 1 species
UCCGAUUCCUACGGGAGGCAGCAGUGGGGAAUUUUGGACAAUGGGCGCAAGCCUGAUCCAGCAAUGCCGCGUGAGUGAAGAAGGCCUUCGGGUUGUAAAGCUCUUUUGUCAGGGAAGAAACGGUGAAGGCUAAUAUCCUUUGCUAAUGACGGUACCUGAAGAAUAAGCACCGGCUAACUACGUGCCAGCAGCCGCGGUAAUACGUAGGGUGCAAGCGUUAAUCGGAAUUACUGGGCGUAAAGCGUGCGCAGGCGGUUUUGUAAGUUUGUCGUGAAAUCCCCGGGCUCAACCUGGGAAUGGCGAUGAAGACUGCAAGGCUAGAAUCUGGCAGAGGGGGGUAGAAUUCCACGUGUAGCAGUGAAAUGCGUAGAGAUGUGGAGGAACACCGAUGGCGAAGGCAGCCCCCUGGGUCAAGAUUGACGCUCAUGCACGAAAGCGUGGGGAGCAAACAGGAUUAGAUACCCUGGUAGUCCACGCCCUAAACGAUGUCUACUAGUUGUCGGGUUUUAAUUAACUUGGUAACGCAGCUAACGCGUGAAGUAGACCGCCUGGGGAGUACGGUCGCAAGAUUAAAACUCAAAGGAAUUGACGGGGACCCGCACAAGCGGUGGAUGAUGUGGAUUAAUUCGAUGCAACGCGAAAAACCUUACCUACCCUUGACAUGGCAGGAAUCCUGAAGAGAUUUGGGAGUGCUCGAAAGAGAACCUGCACACAGGUGCUGCAUGGCUGUCGUCAGCUCGUGUCGUGAGAUGUUGGGUUAAGUCCCGCAACGAGCGCAACCCUUGUCAUUAGUUGCUACGAAAGAGCACUCUAAUGAGACUGCCGGUGACAAACCGGAGGAAGGUGGGGAUGACGUCAAGUCCUCAUGGCCCUUAUGGGUAGGGCUUCACACGUCAUACAAUGGUACAUACAGAGGGCCGCCAACCCGCGAGGGGGAGCUAAUCCCAGAAAGUGUAUCGUAGUCCGGAUUGUAGUCUGCAACUCGACUACAUGAAGUUGGAAUCGCUAGUAAUCGCGGAUCAGCAUGUCGCGGUGGGAAGGUUCCCGGGCCUUGUA